GACGAACGCUGGCGGCGUGCCUAAUACAUGCAAGUCGAGCGGACGGAUGGGAGCUUGCUCCCAGACCGUCAGCGGCGGACGGGUGAGUAACACGUGGGCAACCUGCCUGUAAGACUGGGAUAACUCCGGGAAACCGGGGCUAAUACCGGAUAACUCUUUCCCUCACAUGAGGGAAAGCUGAAAGAUGGCAUCUCGCUAUCACUUACAGAUGGGCCCGCGGCGCAUUAGCUAGUUGGUGAGGUAACGGCUCACCAAGGCGACGAUGCGUAGCCGACCUGAGAGGGUGAUCGGCCACACUGGGACUGAGACACGGCCCAGAAUCCUACGGGAGGCAGCAGUAGGGAAUCUUCCGCAGUGGACGAAAGUCUGACGGAGCAACGCCGCGUGAGUGAUGAAGGUUUUCGGAUCGUAAACUCUGUUGUCAGGGAAGAACAAGUACCGGAGUAACUGCCGGUACCUUGACGGUACCUGACCAGAAAGCCACGGCUAACUACGUG
rnacentral:rRNA from 1 species